CGUAGGGGGCUAGCGUUGUCCGGAAUCAUUGGGCGUAAAGCGCGUGUAGGCGGUUCGGUAAGUCCGCUGUGAAAGUCGGGGGCUCAACCCUCGGAUGCCGGUGGAUACUGUCGGACUAGAGUACGGAAGAGGCGAGUGGAAUUCCUGGUGUAGCGGUGAAAUGCGCAGAUAUCAAGAGGAACACCGAUUGCGAAGGCAGCUCGCUGGGACGUUACUGACGCUGAGACGCGAAAGCGUGGGGAGCAAACAGGAUUAGAUACCCUGGUAGUCCACGCCGUAAACGAUGGGCACUAGGUGUGGGGGGUGUCGACUCCCUCCGUGCCGAAGCUAACGCAUUAAGUGCCCCGCCUGGGGAGUACGGCCGCAAGGCUA
rnacentral:rRNA from 1 species